ACGGGUGAGUAACACGUGGGUGAUCUGCCUCGCACUCUGGGAUAAGCCUGGGAAACUGGGUCUAAUACCGGAUAUGAGCCUGGACUGCAUGGUCUGGGUUGGAAAGGUUUACUGGUGCGAGAUGGGCCCGCGGCCUAUCAGCUUGUUGGUGGGGUAACGGCCCACCAAGGCGACGACGGGUAGCCGACCUGAGAGGGUGACCGGCCACACUGGGACUGAGACACGGCCCAGACUCCUACGGGAGGCAGCAGUGGGGAAUAUUGCACAAUGGGCGAAAGCCUGAUGCAGCGACGCCGCGUGAGGGAUGACGGCCUUCGGGUUGUAAACCUCUUUUGACAGGGACGAAGCGCAAGUGACGGUACCUGUAGAAGAAGCACCGGCCAACUACGUGCCAGCAGCCGCGGUAAUACGUAGGGUGCGAGCGUUGUCCGGAAUUACUGGGCGUAAAGAGCUUGUAGGCGGUCUGUCACGUCGAUUGUGAAAACUUGCAGCUCAACUGCAAGCUUGCAGUCGAUACGGGCAGACUAGAGUACUUCAGGGAGACUGGAAUUCCUGGUGUAGCGGU
rnacentral:rRNA from 1 species